rnacentral:tRNA from 1 species
UAUAGCUCAGUGGCACAGUACCUGCCUGGCAAGCACAAGGUCCUGAGUUCAAAUCUCAGUA